rnacentral:rRNA from 1 species
GACGAACGCUGGCGGCGUGCUUAACACAUGCAAGUCGAACGGAAAGGCCCUGCUUUUGUGGGGUGCUCGAGUGGCGAACGGGUGAGUAACACGUGAGUAACCUGCCCUUGACUUUGGGAUAACUUCAGGAAACUGGGGCUAAUACCGGAUAGGAGCUCCUGCUGCAUGGUGGGGGUUGGAAAGUUUCGGCGGUUGGGGAUGGACUCGCGGCUUAUCAGCUUGUUGGUGGGGUAGUGGCUUACCAAGGCUUUGACGGGUAGCCGGCCUGAGAGGGGGACCGGCGACAUUGGGACUGAGAUACGGCCCAGACGCCUACGGGAGGCAGCAGUGGGGAAUAUUGCACAAUGGGCGGAAGCCUGAUGCAGCAACGCCGCGUGCGGGAUGACGGCCUUCGGGUUGUAAACCGCUUUCGCCUGUGACGAAGCGUGAGUGACGGUAAUGGGUAAAGAAGCACCGGCUAACUACGUG